CCUACGGGUGGCAGCAGUGGGGUAUCUUGCGCAAUGGGCGAAAGCCUGACGCAGCGACGCCGCGUGAGGGAUGAAGGUCUUCGGAUCGUAAACCUCUGUCAGCAUGGAAGAACGGUCACUGUGCUAAUCAGCAGUGAAUUGACGGUACCUGCAAAGGAAGCACCGGCUAACUCCGUGCGAACAGCCGCGGUAAUACGGAGGGUGCGAGCGUUAAUCGGAAGUACUGGGCGUAAAGCGCUCGUAGGCGGAAUGUCAAGUCCAGGGUGAAAUCCCCGCGCACAACGUGGGAACUGCCUUUGAUACUAGCAAACUGGAGUGUGUGAGAGGAUAGUGGAAAUCCAGGAGGAGGAGUGAA
rnacentral:rRNA from 1 species